ensembl:rRNA 5_8S_rRNA 5.8S ribosomal RNA
AACUCUUAGCGGUGGAUCACCGGCCGUGGCGUCGAUGAAGAACGCAGCUAGCUGCGAAACUAAUGUGAAUUGCAGGACACAUUGAUCAUCGACCUUCGAACGCACCUGCGCCCCGGGUUCCUCCCGGCUACGCCUGUCUGAGAGUCG